UACGGGGGGAGCAAGCGUUGUUCGGAUUUACUGGGCGUAAAGGGCGCGUAGGCGGCCUCUGCAAGUCGACUGUGAAAUCUCCGGGCUAACCCGGAAAGGUCAGCCGAUACUGCAGGGCUAGAGUGCAGAAGGGGCAACUGGAAUUCUCGGUGUAGCGGUGAAAUGCGUAGAUAUCGAGAGGAACACCUGCGGCGAAGGCGGGUUGCUGGGCUGACACUGACGCUGACAGCGCGAAAGCUAGGGGAGCGAACGGG
rnacentral:rRNA from 1 species